rnacentral:rRNA from 1 species
AUGCAGUCGAACGAGAGAAGAGAAGCUUGCUUUUCUGAUCUAGUGGCGGACGGGUGAGUAACACGUGAGCAAUCUGCCUUUCAGAGGGGGAUACCGAUUGGAAACGAUCGUUAAUACCGCAUAAUAUAAUUGAACCGCAUGAUUUGAUUAUCAAAGAUUUAUCGCUGAAAGAUGAGCUCGCGUCUGAUUAGCUAGUUGGUAAGGUAACGGCUUACCAAGGCGACGAUCAGUAGCCGGACUGAGAGGUUGAUCGGCCACAUUGGGACUGAGACACGGCCCAGACUCCUACGGGAGGCAGCAGUGGGGAAUAUUGCACAAUGGAGGAAACUCUGAUGCAGCGAUGCCGCGUGAGGGAAGAAGGUUUUAGGAUUGUAAACCUCUGUCUUCAGGGACGAAAAAAGACGGUACCUGAGGAGGAAGCUCCGGCUAACUACGUGCCAGCAGCCGCGGUAAUACGUAGGGAGCGAGCGUUGUCCGGAAUUACUGGGUGUAAAGGAAGCGUAGGCGGGAUCGCAAGUCAGAUGUGAAAACUAUGGGCUUAACCCAUAAACUGCAUUUGAAACUGUGGUUCUUGAGUGAAGUAGAGGUAAGCGGAAUUCCUAGUGUAGCGGUGAAAUGCGUAGAUAUUAGGAGGAACAUCAGUGGCGAAGGCGGCUUACUGGGCUUUAACUGACGCUGAGGCUCGAAAGCGUGGGGAGCAAACAGGAUUAGAUACCCUGGUAGUCCACGCCGUAAACGAUGAUUACUAGGUGUGGGGGGACUGACCCCUUCCGUGCCGCAGCAAACGCAAUAAGUAAUCCACCUGGGGAGUACGACCGCAAGGUUGAAACUCAAAGGAAUUGACGGGGGCCCGCACAAGCAGUGGAGUAUGUGGAUUAAUUCG